GGGGGAAAGCCGGGGGAUCUUCGGACCUGGCGCUAGUAGAUGAGCCCGCGUGAGAUUAGCUUGUUGGUGGGGUAAUGGCCUACCAAGGCAACGAUCUCUAGCUGGUCUGAGAGGACGAUCAGCCACACUGGGACUGAGACACGGCCCAGACUCCUACGGGAGGCAGCAGUGGGGAAUAUUGGACAAUGGGCGAAAGCCUGAUCCAGCAAUGCCGCGUGUGUGAAGAAGGCCUGAGGGUUGUAAAGCACUUUCAAUCGUGAAGAAAAGUUGCAGGCUAAUACCCUGUGACCUUGACGUUAACGAUACAAGAAGCACCGGCUAACUCCGUG
rnacentral:rRNA from 1 species